UUUUUUAAGAGUGCAUUAUCACAUAAUGAAAACGACAGUUUUUACGGCCAUACUGAAAAUAAAACGAAUUUAAUAUUUAUCAUUGGGAAAACGGGUGGAGAGAGUUAGGUGUCUGGAUACCCCUCCAUCACUGAUAACCAAUAUAAAUGCAUAUUAAGACGUGUCUUGAAAAAUAAAUAUGAAUAAUGAAUGUAAUAUACUGCGAUCUUGUUGGCUAAAGGAUGACAAUCAUACUAAGUGUUUUGACUAUUUAAAGAAAAGAUACAGUU